AGGGGUUUGAUCAUGGCUCAGAAUGAACGCUGGCGGCGUGCCUAACACAUGCAAGUCGAACGAGAAAGGGGCCUUCGGGUCCUGAGUAAAGUGGCGAACGGGUGAGUAACGCGUGGGUAACCUGUCCUCGAGUGAGGAAUAACUUGGCGAAAGCCGAGCUAAUACCGCAUGACAUCCCAGGGUCUUAGGGUCUUGGGAUCAAAGGUAGCGAGCUUCGAGCGCUGCCGCUUGAGGGGGGGCCUGCGUCCCAUUAGCUUGUUGGUGAGGUAACGGCUCACCAAGGCUCCGAUGGGUAGCCGAGCUGAGAGGCUGACCGGCCACACUGGAACUGAGACACGGUCCAGACUCCUACGGGAGGCAGCAGUGGGGAAUUUUGCGCAAUGGGGGAAACCCUGACGCAGCGACGCCGCGUGGGCGAUGAAGGCCUUCGGGUCGUAAAGCCCUGUCGAGUGGGACGAAACGUGCGAGCUCUAACAUAGCUCGUGCCUGACGGUACCACUGGAGGAAGCCCCGGCCAACUCCGUGCCAGCAGCCGCGGUAAUACGGGGGGGGCGAGCGUUAUUCGGAAUUAUUGGGCGUAAAGGGCGUGUAGGCGGCUUCGUGUGUCUUUCUGUGAAAGCCCUCGGCUCAACCGAGGAAUUGCAGGAGAAACUGCGGAGCUCGAGUCCGGGAGAGGAGAGCGGAAUUCCCAGUGUAGCGGUGAAAUGCGUAGAUAUUGGGAGGAACACCAGUGGCGAAGGCGGCUCUCUGGACCGGUACUGACGCUGAGACGCGAAAGCUAGGGGAGCAAACGGGAUUAGAUACCCCGGGUAGUCCUAGCCGUAAACGAUGAGCACUUGGUGUGGCGGGUAUCGACCCCUGCCGUGCCGAAGCUAACGCAUUAAGUGCUCCGCCUGGGGAGUACGGCCGCAAGGCUGAAACUCAAAGGAAUUGACGGGGGCCCGCACAAGCGGUGGAGCAUGUGGUUCAAUUCGACGCAACGCGAAGAACCUUAACCUGGGCUUGACAUGCACCGGACGAUUACUCGAAAGAGCACUUUCCUUCGGGACCCUAGUAGAGGUGCUGCAUGGCUGUCGUCAGCUCGUGUCGUGAGAUGUUGGGUUAAGUCCCGCAACGAGCGCAACCCUUGCCCUUAGUUGCCAUCGGUUCGGCCGGGGACUCUAGGGGGACUGCCGGUGAUAAGCCGGAGGAAGGUGGGGACGACGUCAAGUCCUCAUGGCCCUUAUGCCCAGGGCUACACACGUGCUACAAUGGCCGGUACAAAGGGUCGCCAACCCGCGAGGGGGAGCCAAUCCCAAAAAGCCGGUCUCAGUUCGGAUUGGAGUCUGCAACUCGACUCCAUGAAGUUGGAAUCGCUAGUAAUCGCGCAUCAGCACGGCGUGGUGAAUACGUUCCCGGGCCUUGUACACACCGCCCGUCACACCACGAAAGCUGAUUGUACCGGAAGUCGCUGAGCUAACCCCCGCUUCGGCGGAGGAGGCAGGCGCCCAUGGUAUGAUUGGUGAUUGGGGUGAAGUCGUAAACAAGGUAGCCC
rnacentral:rRNA from 1 species